CUCCUACGGGAGGCAGCAGUGAGGAAUAUUGGUCAAUGGGCGCAGGCCUGAACCAGCCAAGUAGCGUGAAGGAUGACUGCCCUAUGGGUUGUAAACUUCUUUUAUAUGGGAAUAAAGUUUUCCACGUGUGGAAUUUUGUAUGUACCAUAUGAAUAAGGAUCGGCUAACUCCGUGCCAGCAGCCGUGGUAAUACGGAGGAUCCGAGCGUUAUCCGGAUUUAUUGGGUUUAAAGGGAGCGUAGGUGGACAGUUAAGUCAGUUGUGAAAGUUUGCGGCUCAACCGUAAAAUUGCAGUUGAUACUGGCUGUCUUGAGUACAGUAGAGGUGGGCGGAAUUCGUGGUGUAGCGGUGAAAUGCUUAGAUAUCACGAAGAACUCCGAUUGCGAAGGCAGCUCACUGGACUGCAACUGACACUGAUGCUCGAAAGUGUGGGUAUCAAACAGGAUUAGAUACCCUGGUAGUCCACACAGUAAACGAUGAAUACUCGCUGUUUGCGAUAUACAGUAAGCGGCCAAGCGAAAGCAUUAAGUAUUCCACCUGGGGAGUACGCCGGCAACGGUGAAACUCAAAGGAAUUGACGGGGGCCCGCACAAGCGGAGGAACAUGAGGUUUAAUUCGAUGAUACGCGAGGAACCUUACCCGGGCUUAAAUUGCAUUUGAAUAUAUUGGAAACAGUAUAGUCGUAAGACAAAUGUGAAGGUGCUGCAUGGUUGUCGUCAGCUCGUGCCGUGAGGUGUCGGCUUAAGUGCCAUAACGAGCGCAACCCUUAUCUUUAGUUACUAACAGGUCAUGCUGAGGACUCUAGAGGGACUGCCGUCGUAAGAUGUGAGGAAGGUGGGGAUGACGUCAAAUCAGCACGGCCCUUACGUCCGGGGCUACACACGUGUUACAAUGGGGGGUACAGAAGGCAGCUACCUGGUGACAGGAUGCUAAUCCCAAAAGCCUCUCUCAGUUCGGAUCGAAGUCUGCAACCCGACUUCGUGAAGCUGGAUUCGCUAGUAAUCGCGCAUCAGCCAUGGCGCGGUGAAUACGUUCCCGGGCCUUGUACACACCGC
rnacentral:rRNA from 1 species